GGUCAAGCUAAUAAGAGCUAAUGGU
rnacentral:rRNA from 1 species